rnacentral:rRNA from 1 species
GAUGAACGCUGGCGGCGUGCCUAAUACAUGCAAGUCGAGCGAACAGACGAGGAGCUUGCUCCUCUGACGUUAGCGGCGGACGGGUGAGUAACACGUGGAUAACCUACCUAUAAGACUGGGAUAACUUCGGGAAACCGGAGCUAAUACCGGAUAAUAUAUUGAACCGCAUGGUUCAAUAGUGAAAGACGGUUUUGCUGUCACUUAUAGAUGGAUCCGCGCCGCAUUAGCUAGUUGGUAAGGUAACGGCUUACCAAGGCGACGAUGCGUAGCCGACCUGAGAGGGUGAUCGGCCACACUGGAACUGAGACACGGUCCAGACUCCUACGGGAGGCAGCAGUAGGGAAUCUUCCGCAAUGGGCGAAAGCCUGACGGAGCAACGCCGCGUGAGUGAUGAAGGUCUUCGGAUCGUAAAACUCUGUCAUUAGGGAAGAACAAAUGUGUAAGUAACUAUGCACGUCUUGACGGUACCCAAUCAGAAAGCCACGGCUAACUACGUG